AUGAAAUCCUCUAGGUUGCUCAUGCUUUUCACAGAAUACCUUCUUUGUCUUUAUUGGGUUUAUGGAUACUACAGACAACAGAGAAAACUUGUUGAAGAGAUUGGCUGGUCCUAUACAGGAGCAUUGAAUCAAAAAAAUUGGGGAAAGAAAUAUCCAACAUGUAAUAGCCCCAAACAGUCUCCUAUCAAUAUUGAUGAAGAUCUUACACAAGUAAAUGUGAAUCUUAAGAAACUUAAAUUUCAGGAUUGGGAUAAAACAUCUUUGGAAAACACAUUCAUUCAUAACACUGGGAAAACAGUGGAAAUUAAUCUCACUAAUGACUACCGUCUCAGUGGAGGGGUUUCAGAAACAGUGUUCAAAGCAAGCAAGAUAGCUUUUCACUGGGGAAAAUGCAAUAUGUCAUCUGAUGGAUCAGAACAUAGUUUAGAAGGGCAAAAAUUUCCACUAGAGAUGCAGAUCUACUGCUUUGAUGCAGACCGAUUUUCAAGUUUUGAAGAAGCAAUUAAAGGAAAAGGGAAGUUAAGAGCUUUAUCCAUUUUAUUUGAGGUUGGAAUAGAAGAAAAUUUGGACUACAAAGCAAUUAUAGAUGGAGUGGAGAGGGUUAGUCGUUUUGGGAAACAGGCUGCGCUGGAUCCAUUCACAUUGCUAAACCUUCUGCCAAACUCAACGGACAAGUAUUACACUUACAAUGGCUCCCUGACAUCGCCUCCCUGCACAGACACCGUUGACUGGAUUAUUUUUAAAGAUACAGUUAGCAUUUCUGAAAGCCAGUUGGCUGUUUUCUGUGAAGUUCUUACAAUGCAACAGUCUGGUUAUGUCAUGUUGAUGGACUACUUACAAAAUAAUUUUCGAGAACAACAGUACAAGUUCUCCAGGCAGGUGUUUUCCUCAUAUACUGGAAAGGAAGAGAUUCAUGAAGCAGUUUGUAGUUCAGAACCAGAAAAUGUUCAAGCUGACCCAGAGAAUUAUACUAGCCUUCUUGUUACAUGGGAGAGACCUCGAGUAGUUUAUGAUACCAUGAUCGAGAAGUUUGCCGUUCUGUACCAGCAGUUGGAGGGAGAAGACCAAACCAAGCAUGAGUUUUUGACAGAUGGCUAUCAAGAUUUGGGUGCUAUUCUUAAUAAUUUACUACCCAAUAUGAGUUAUGUUCUUCAAAUAGUAGCCAUAUGCACUAAUGGCUUAUAUGGAAAAUACAGUGACCAGCUGAUUGUGGACAUGCCUUCUGAUGACCCUGAACUUGACCUCUUUCCCGAAUUAAUUGGAACUGAAGAAAUAAUCAAGGAAGAAGAAGAGGGAAAGGACAUGGAAGGAGACACUGUUGUGAAUCCUGGUAGAGACGGUGCCACAAACCAGAUCAGGAGAAAGGAACCCCAGAUUUCUACCACAACAAAUUACAACCGAGUGGGGACCAAAUACAACGAGGCCAAGACUAACCGCUCCCCAGCAAGAGGAAGCGGGUUCUCUGGAAAGAGUGAUAUUCCCAACACAUCUUUAGAUUCCACCUCCCAGCCAGUCACUGAAUUAGACCCAGAAAAAGACGUUCUUUCGACUUCACGGACUGUGACCCAGCCUCCCCCUCUCACUCUGGCAGGCACUUCAGCCUCUUCAAGUGACGCCUCUAAAACCAUUCUCCGAUUUCCACAGAUGAACUUGUCCGGGACGGUGGAAUAUUCAGAUACAGUGUCCACGACGGAAUCGCAAGAGGUAUCUACUGAUAUCAGUGAGGAAGAGAGUUUAUUGACCAGUUUCAAGCUCGAUCCAGGAGCCGAUGAUUCUUCCGGUUCCAGUCCCGCAACUUCCGCUGUGCCAUUCGUCUCCGAGAACACAUCCCCUGGCGAUGUAUUAUUUCCUUCAGAAAACCCAGAGGCCGUCACAUACGAUGUCUUUAUCCCAGAAUCUGCGAGAAAUGCUUCAGAAGAUUCCGCCUCCUCAGGUUCAGAAGAAUCUCUCAAGGAUCCUUCCGUUGAUGGAAAUAUGUGGUUUCCUAGUACAACAGACGUGACGACGAUGCCCGAUGUCGGGUCAGGUAGAGAGAGCUUUCUCCAGACUAAUUACACCGACGUGGAUAGUGACGAAUCUGAGAAGACAACAGAAUCCUCUCCUCCAGGCCCACUGCCGUCACAGGGCCCCUCGGUCUCAGAUGUGCGAAUGCCACAGUAUUCUACCUUUGCAUACUUCCCCACUGAGGUGACACCUCACGCUUUUACUCCGUCCUCCGGACAACACCAUUCGGUCCCCACCGUCAACGUGGUACACGCGCAGACAACUCAACCAGUGUACAAUGAUGGUCUGACAGCCCUUAAUAUGUCUUCACCCGUUUCUGUAGCUGAGUUUACAUAUCCAACCUCUAUGUCUGGUGACAAUAACAAGCUACUUUCUAAAAGUGACACAAUACACGGAGAGGAGACAGAACGGCACAUUUCUUCUUUCAGUGACCUGGUUUACCCCUCUGAAAGCACAGUCAUGCCUGACCUGUAUGAUCAUGUAAAUACAUUGAAUGCCUCUUUACAAGAAUCCUCUGCUUCCACUUCUAGCCCAGAGGGCAUCCUCCCAGAGCUUCUUGUUUUAACUGCCACUAAGGUUUAUGAUCAUGAGAUUAGUCAAAUUCCAGAAAGUAACUUUCCGGUUCAGUCUUCACACGCUGUAUUUCAAGCAUUUGGUGACACUUCGCUUAAAUCUGCACACUCAGAGCCAGCAUCCUCUGACCCUACUUCUAGUGAAAUGUUAUCUCCUUCAACUCAGCUCUUAGUUUAUGAGCCCUCAGCUUCUUUUAGUACUGAAGUAUUGCUGCAACCUUCCUUUCAGGCUUCUGGUAUUGACUUGUUGCUUAAAACUGAUCUGCCAGCUAUGCCUAGUGACCCAAUAGUGGUUGAAACCCCCAAGGUUGAGCACAUUAGUUCUACAGUAUCACAUCUCGUGGCAUCCAAUGCCGCUUCAAGGGAAAAUACGCUGCACUCUACAUCUGUACCAAUCUCUGAUGUAUCACCUACUCCUAAUACGCACGCUGCUUCACUUCAAGCUUUAACCAUUUCUUAUGCAAGUGAGAAAUAUUCUGAACCAGUUUUGCAUAAAAGCGAAAGUUCCCACCAAACAGUACCUUCAUUGUCCAAUAAUGAUGAGUUGUUCCAAACUGCCAAUUUGGAGCUUAACCAGGUCUUUCCUCCAGAAGGAAGGCAUGCAUUUGCAACUCCUGUUUUAUCAGUUGUACCACCAGAUACGCUUAUAAGUAAGCUUGUUUAUUCUGAUGAAGUCUUCACCUCCACCAAGGGCCCAGUCACCGAUGAGGUAUUGGCUGGUAUUCCUACAGUUGUUUCUGAUCCAGUUGUAACUGCUGAUCCUUCUGUCCCUUUAGGAAAUGUGUAUGUUUCCAUUUCAGCCAUUUCUCCAAACAAGGAUGGUUCUGUAACCACAACCGAGUUGCUGUUUCCUUCUAGAACAACUUCUGAGCCAAUUCAAAGUGCCCGAUCUGAUGCCAGUUUGGUGGGUGGUGGUGACGAUGGUGAUAUUGAUGAUUACGGUGAUGAUUAUUAUGAUGACAGAGAUAAAGAUGGCUUAUCUAUCAAUAGGUGUAUGUCAUGCUUCUCCUAUAGAGAAUCACAGGAAAAGGUAAUGAAUGACUCAGACACCCAGCAGAACAGUUCUGUGGAUCAGAAUAACCCAAUCUCAUAUGCACUAUCUGAGAAUUCUGAAGAAGGAAAUAAAAUCACAGGUGUUAUAUCAGACAAUCAGACUGAUAUGGACAGAAGUCCUGAUAAAUCACCACCAACAAAUGUGCCAGCCCAGAAGCACAAUGAUGGAAAACAGGAAAAUGAUGUUCAGACUAACAAUGCCCUGCUUCCUUUCAGCCCAGAAUCUAAAGCUUGGGCAGUUCUUACAAGUGAUGAAGAGAGUGGAUCAGGGCAAGGUGCCUCAGAUAGCCUUAAUGAUAACGAGACUUCCACAGAUUUCAGUUUUCCUGAUAUUAAUGAAAAAGAUGGUGAUGGGGUACUGGAAACAGGUGACUCAGAAAUAACUCCUGGAUCCCCACAGUCCUCAACACCGACUAUUACUAGCGGGCAUUCAGAAGUGUUCAACAUUUCAGAGGCAGAGGCCAGUAAUAGUAGCCAUGAGUCUCGUAUUGGUCUAGCUGAGGGGCUGGAAUCCGAGAAGAAGGCGGUUAUACCCCUUGUGAUCGUGUCGGCCCUGACUUUUAUCUGUCUAGUGGUUCUUGUGGGUAUUCUCAUCUACUGGAGGAAAUGUUUCCAGACCGCACAUUUUUAUUUAGAGGACAGUACGUCCCCUCGAGUAAUAUCCACACCUCCAACACCUAUCUUUCCAAUUUCAGAUGAUGUUGGAUCAAUUCCAAUAAAGCACUUUCCAAAGCAUGUUGCAGACUUACAUGCAAGUAGUGGGUUUACUGAAGAAUUUGAGACACUGAAAGAGUUUUACCAGGAGGUACAGAGCUGUACUGUUGAUUUAGGUAUCACAGCAGACAGCUCCAAUCACCCCGACAAUAAGCACAAGAACCGAUACAUAAAUAUUGUUGCCUAUGAUCAUAGUAGAGUUAAACUCGCACAACUUGCUGAGAAGGAUGGCAAACUGACUGAUUAUAUCAAUGCCAAUUAUGUUGAUGGCUACAACAGACCAAAAGCUUACAUUGCUGCCCAAGGCCCACUGAAAUCCACCGCCGAAGACUUCUGGAGAAUGAUAUGGGAGCAUAAUGUGGAAGUUAUUGUCAUGAUAACGAACCUUGUGGAGAAAGGAAGGAGAAAGUGUGACCAGUACUGGCCUGUGGAUGGCAGUGAAGAGUAUGGGAACUUUCUGGUCACUCAAAAGAGUAUUCAAGUGCUUGCUUAUUAUACUGUGAGGAAUUUUACUCUAAGAAACACAAAGAUCAAAAAGGGUUCCCAAAAAGGAAGACCCAGUGGGCGCGUGGUUACCCAGUACCACUACACUCAGUGGCCUGACAUGGGGGUGCCCGAGUACUCCCUGCCAGUGCUAACCUUUGUGAGAAAGGCCUCGCAUGCCAAGCGCCACGCAGUAGGGCCUGUUGUUGUCCACUGCAGUGCUGGAGUUGGAAGAACGGGCACGUACAUCGUGCUAGACAGUAUGCUGCAGCAAAUUCAACAUGAAGGAACCGUCAACGUAUUUGGCUUUUUAAAACACAUUCGUUCACAAAGAAAUUACUUGGUGCAAACUGAGGAACAGUAUGUCUUCAUUCAUGAUGCACUGGUCGAGGCCAUACUCAGUAAAGAAACUGAGGUCCCGGACAGCCACAUCCAUGCCUAUGUUAACGGGCUCCUCAUUCCUGGACCAACGGGCAAAACAAAGCUAGAGAAGCAAUUCAAGCUCUUGAGUCAAUCAAAUAUACAGCAGAGUGACUAUUCUACAGCCCUAAAGCAAUGCAACAGAGAAAAGAACAGAACGUCUUCCAUCAUCCCUGUGGAAAGAUCCAGGGUUGGCAUUUCAUCCCUGAGUGGAGAAGGUGCAGACUACAUCAAUGCCUCCUACAUCAUGGGUUAUUAUCAGAGCAAUGAAUUCAUCAUCACCCAGCAUCCCCUUCUCCACACCAUCAAGGAUUUCUGGAGGAUGAUAUGGGACCAUAAUGCCCAGCUGGUUGUUAUGCUUCCAGAUGGUCAAAACAUGGCAGAAGAUGAAUUUGUUUACUGGCCAAAUAAAGAUGAGCCUAUAAAUUGUGAGAGUUUUAAGGUCACUCUUAUGGCCGAGGAACACAAAUGUCUGUCUAAUGAGGAGAAACUUAUAAUGCAAGAUUUUAUCCUAGAAGCUACACAGGAUGACUAUGUACUUGAAGUGCGGCACUUUCAGUGCCCCAAAUGGCCAAAUCCAGACAGCCCCAUUAGUAAAACUUUUGAACUUAUAAGUAUUAUCAAAGAAGAAGCCGCCACCAGGGAUGGGCCCAUGAUUGUUCAUGAUGAGCACGGAGGAGUGACAGCUGGAACCUUCUGUGCUCUGACGACCCUGAUGCACCAACUCGAAAAAGAAAAUUCCGUGGAUGUGUACCAGGUAGCCAAGAUGAUCAAUUUGAUGAGGCCGGGAGUCUUUGCCGACAUUGAGCAGUAUCAGUUUCUCUACAAAGCAGUCCUCAGCCUUGUGAGCACAAGGCAGGAAGAGAACCCGUCCACCUCUCUGGACAGUAACGGCGCGGCAUUGGCUGAUGGAAAUAUAGCCGAGAGCUUAGAGUCUUUAGUUUGACGUGGAAAGGGGUGAGAAGAGCCCACAUGUACUGCUUCCCUCUUUCUAAAAUUAGACUGGAAAAUCAGUUCCGUUCUGUUAUCUGUUUACUUCACAUCACCUGACAGUUACUACCAUGACAUAGGAUUCUGCUGCCAAAUUUACAUCAUUAACAAUGUGUGCCUUUUUUGCAAAACUUCUUGUAAUUCACUUAUUGUGUUUAAACUAAAAUGAUUGAAAUUUACAGUAUUUCUAAGAAUGGAAUUGUGGUAUCUUUUUUUCAUAUUGAUUUUAACAGAAAAUUUCAAUUUACAGAUACUAGGAAUUCCCAACUAGAAUUCCCAAACAGAAAACAUGUUUGUUUUUAGUGUCAAAUUUUUAGCUGUAUUUGUAGCAAUCAUCAAGUUUGCUAGAAAUAUAACUUUUAAUAUAGUAUACUGUAAAUAAAACACCCUGUUCCCUACGAUAUUCA
ensembl:lncRNA